CCUACGGGAGGCAGCAGUGGGGGAUAUUGCACAAUGGGGGAAACCCUGAUGCAGCGACGCCGCGUGAAUGAAGACGGCCUUCGGGUUGUAAAGCUCUGUCGCCGGGGACGGAAAUGACGGUACCCGGCAAGAAAGCGGCGGCUAACCAAGUGGCAGCAGCCACGGUAAUACGGAGGGAGCAAGCGUUGUCCGGAAUUAAUGGGUGUAAAGGGAGCGUAGGCGGGAGGAUAAGUUUAAUGUGAAAUCUAUGGGCUCAACCCAUAGCCGCUUUCAAAACUGUUCUGCUUGAGUGAAGUAGAGGCAGGCGGAAUUCCUAGUGUAGCGGUGAAAUGCGUAGAUAUUAGGAGGAACACCAGUGGCGAAGGCGGCCUGCUGGGCUUUUACUGACGCUGAGGCUCGAAAGCGUGGGGAGCAAACAGGAUUAGAUACCCCUGUAGUC
rnacentral:rRNA from 1 species